UACAGAGGUGGCAAGCGUUGUUCGGAAUUACUGGGCGUAAAGGGCGCGUAGGCGGUCUUGCAAGUCCUGUGUGAAAUCCCUCGGCUCAACUGAGGAACUGCACAGGAAACUGCUUGGCUUGAGUUCUGGAGAGGAAGGCGGAAUUCUCGGUGUAGAGGUGAAAUUCGUAGAUAUCGGGAAGAACACCAGUGGCGAAGGCGGCUCUCUGGGCAGACACUGACGCUGAGACGCGAAAGCGUGGGGAGCAAACAGG
rnacentral:rRNA from 1 species